rnacentral:rRNA from 1 species
AGCAGUGGGGAAUUUUGGACAAUGGGCGCAAGCCUGAUCCAGCAAUGCCGCGUGAGUGAAGAAGGCCUUCGGGUUGUAAAGCUCUUUUGUCAGGGAAGAAACGGUGAAGGCUAAUAUCCUUUGCUAAUGACGGUACCUGAAGAAUAAGCACCGGCUAACUACGUGCCAGCAGCCGCGGUAAUACGUAGGGUGCAAGCGUUAAUCGGAAUUACUGGGCGUAAAGCGUGCGCAGGCGGUUUUGUAAGUUUGUCGUGAAAGCCCCGGGCUCAACCUGGGAAUUGCGAUGAAGACUGCAAGGCUUGAAUCUGGCAGAGGGGGGUAGAAUUCCACGUGUAGCAGUGAAAUGCGUAAGAUGUGGAGGAACACCGAUGGCGAAGGCAGCCCCCUGGGUCAAGAUUGACGCUCAUG